rnacentral:rRNA from 1 species
UGGCGGACGGGUGGGUAACGCGUGGAUAACCUGCCGUAUACUGGGGGAUAACACUUAGAAAUAGGUGCUAAUACCGCAUAAGCGCACAGUCUCGCAUGAGACGGUGUGAAAAACUCCGGUGGUAUACGAUGGAUCCGCGUCUGAUUAGCUUGUUGGCGGGGUAACAGCCCACCAAGGCGACGAUCAGUAGCCGGCCUGAGAGGGUGAACGGCCACAUUGGGACUGAGACACGGCCCAAACUCCUACGGAAGGCAGCAG